rnacentral:rRNA from 1 species
UACGAAGGGGGCUAGCGUUGCUCGGAAUCACUGGGCGUAAAGCGCACGUAGGCGGAUUGUUAAGUCAGGGGUGAAAUCUCCGAGCUUAACUCGGAACUGUCAGCUGAUACUGAUGUGCUUGAGUGCGGAAGGGGCAAUCGGAAUUCUUGGUGUAGCGGUGAAAUGCGUAGAUAUCAAGAGGAACACCUGAGGUGAAGACGGGUUGCUGGGCCGACACUGACGCUGAGUGCGCGAAAGCCAGGGGAGCAAACGGG